rnacentral:ncRNA from 1 species
UGGGUUGUAGUGACAUUCAUAGCGACGUCGCUUUUAGAUCCUUCGAUGUCGGCUCUUCCUAUCAUUGUGAAGCAGAAUUCACCAAGCUUUGGAUUGUUCACCCACUAAUUGGGAACGUGAGCUGGGUUUAGACUGUCGUGAGACAGGUU